rnacentral:rRNA from 1 species
GACGAACCGUGCGAACGUUGUUCGGAAUCACUGGGCUUAAAGGGCGCGUAGGCGGCUUGCCAAGUCAGGGGUGAAAUCUUUCGGCUUAACCGGAAAAGUGCCUUUGAUACUGGCGAGCUCGAGGGAGGUAGGGGCAGAUGGAACUUCCGGUGGAGUGGUGAAAUGUGUUGAUAUCGGAAGGAACGCCGGUGGCGAAAGCGAUCUGCUGGACCUCUUCUGACGCUGAGGCGCGAAAGCCAGGGUAGCGAACGGG